rnacentral:rRNA from 1 species
GGCGGACGGGUGAGUAACGCGUGGGAACGUACCCUUUGCUUCGGAAUAGCCCCUGGAAACGGGGAGUAAUACCGGAUGAGCCCUACGGGGGAAAGAUUUAUCGGCAAAGGAUCGGCCCGCGUUGGAUUAGGUAGUUGGUGGGGUAAUGGCCUACCAAGCCGACGAUCCAUAGCUGGUUUGAGAGGAUGAUCAGCCACACUGGGACUGAGACACGGCCCAGACUCCUACGGGAGGCAGCAGUGGGGAAUCUUAGACAAUGGGCGCAAGCCUGAUCUAGCCAUGCCGCGUGAUCGAUGAAGGCCUUAGGGUUGUAAAGAUCUUUCGUGGGGGAGGAUAAUGACGGUACCCCAAGAAGAAGCCCCGGCUAACUCCGUGCCAGCAGCCGCGGUAAUACGGAGGGGGCUAUCGUUAUUCCGGAAUACUGGGCGUAAAGCGCACGUAGGCGGAUUGAAAAGUCAGAGGUGAAAUCCCAGAGCUCAACUUUGGAACUGCCUUUGAAACUCUCAGUCUUGAGGUCGAGAGAGGUGAGUGGAAUUCCGAGUGUAGAGGUGAAAUUCGUAGAUAUUCGGAGGA